rnacentral:rRNA from 1 species
UACGUAGGGGGCAAGCGUUGUCCGGAUUUAUUGGGCGUAAAGAGCGUGUAGGCGGCCUUACAGGUCAGCUGUGAAAACUCGAGGCUCAACCUCGAGACGUCGGUUGAAACCGUAUGGCUAGAGUCCGGAAGAGGAGAGUGGAAUUCCCGGUGUAGCGGUGAAAUGCGCAGAUAUCGGGAAGAACACCCGUGGCGAAGGCGGCUCUCUAGUACGGUACUGACGCUGAGACGCGAAAGCGUGGGGAGCGAACAGG